rnacentral:lncRNA from 1 species
CAACAGGUAGGCAAUUUGUCGACGCUGACCAAAAAUAGCGGCUCAUUUCUUCUUUGAGUUUCCAUUUUCGCGUCGAAGAGCAAAAAUAUAGACUUUCGGAGAAUAUUUUAGCUGUUUACUAUCAAAUAUGUUUGUGAAACAGUUAAUAAUCUCACUGAGGAAGGCCAACGGUUUCUGAAAAGCUAAAGUACGUCGAAAUCAGCUUUGGAAUAGACUAUAUUUUCACCGGGGAAACAUGAACAAAAUGGAUAUUUACAUCGACACUAAAUUUUGCUGGUGCCUACAGA